rnacentral:rRNA from 1 species
GACGAACGCUGGCGGCGUGCUUAACACAUGCAAGUCGAACGGAAAGGCCCUGCUUUUGUGGGGUGCUCGAGUGGCGAACGGGUGAGUAACACGUGAGUAACCUGCCCUUGACUUUGGGAUAACUUCAGGAAACUGGGGCUAAUACCGGAUAGGAGCUCCUGCUGCAUGGUGGGGGUUGGAAAGUUUCGGCGGUUGGGGAUGGACUCGCGGCUUAUCAGCUUGUUGGUGGGGUAGUGGCUUACCAAGGCUUUGACGGGUAGCCGGCCUGAGAGGGUGACCGGCGAAGCGGGAACGGGGAUGAGACACAGACGGGAAGGGGAGGGAAGGGAGGAGUGGGGAAUAGUGGGGGAGGAGGGGAGGUGUGGGAAAGCCGUGCGGGGGGAGAGGGGAAGGGGGUAGGGAAGCAAAGGUGGUUGAGACGGAGCGAGAGUGACGGUAACGGGGGAAGAAGCACCGGCUAACUACGUG